GACGAACGCUGGCGGCGUGCUUGCCACAUGCAAGUCGAACGGAAAGGCCUGCUUUCCCUUGUGGAUUGCGGGUACUCGAGUGGCGAACGGGUGAGUAACACGUGAGUGAUCUGCCCCCAACUUGGGUAUAAGCCUGGGAAACUGGGUCUAAUUCCCGAUAGGACUGCAGGGUGGUGCCUGUGGUGGAAAACGAUUUUCUAGUGGUUGGGGAUGAGCUCGCGGCCUAUCAGCUUGUUGGUGGGGUAAUGGCCUACCAAGGCGGCGACGGGUAGCCGGCCUGAGAGGGUGGACGGCCACAUUGGGACUGAGAUACGGCCCAGACUCCUACGGGAGGCAGCAGUGGGGAAUAUUGCACAAUGGGCGGAAGCCUGAUGCAGCGACGCCGCGUGGGGGAUGACGGCCUUCGGGUUGUAAACUCCUUUCGACCGCGAGGAAGCCACCUGGUUGGAAGGGUGGUGACGGUAGUGGUAGAAGAAGCACCGGCUAACUACGUG
rnacentral:rRNA from 1 species